UUUGUUUUUUGUCUUAGAACACAGAACAUCCGGUUGUCUCUGGAUCAUUCUGUAAUCUACAUCUUUUUCCCCUCAUUCCUCCUUUUUUUGGUGGAGGUCAUGAGAAAUUUAUCUUUCUUAAACUACUAGAGAAAAUAAUUUGGGGUGCGUCAAGAGUCAGUUUAAAAGCAAAAAUUAAUUUGAAUUUUACUGGUUUGGCACACAUGUUUGUUUUGAUAAAACCAAGAUUUGUCAUGUAAUAAUUUGUUUUUCAGUUAUUAAAUAAAUAUUUGAAAACUUUCUGUGUGCUAGGUAAUAUGCUUUGUGCUGGGUAAAAAGGUAGAAAAAUAGAUACAGUCCCUGUUUGGAAGCUUGUCUGUGCUGCGUUUAGGUGAAUUUUCUGAUUCUCUUUUAACAUCACCAGACCUGGCACUUCACACACCAUAGACUCGUGUUCAAGUUCAGUUCAGUUGUCUACUACUCUGAGACACAGAGAGUGGGCUGGUGAGCAUUCACUUGUGGAAGACAGUGAAACAUCCAGUUUUGUGGGCUGCUUCAGUUUAGGUAUGUAGUCUAGGUGAGGGUUAUAGGUGGAUUUUGUUCUGAAUUCCUCUUUGCUACAUUAAAGAUAAACCUCUUGUCAGAUUAUGAUGCCCUGUUCUUGGCAUUCUAAAAUAAUAGGGUCUUGUUCUGUUCCCUUUCCUUAACUCAGUCUUGGGUUAUGAACAUUUUGCAGAGACUUGAUUAACGCAGCUAAGGUGGUGAUGUUCUCAUUUGACUCUGCCUUUUUCAAAUAAAGAUUAGGUAAGUGUGUGUAUGUAGUGGCUAUGUCCUUUUCACAGGAGCUGGGAAAAUCCCAGCAAACAAACUUUUUCUUUAUCCCUUUCUAUAAGUACUCUACCUUAAGCUGUUGAAUCCUGCUACUGGUGAAAUUCUCUUCAGUAGGUCACCUCUGUGCUUGAACCUGAUGUAUCACUUUUUACUUGGGAUGCUCUUAGCUCUGUAGUACCUUGCCAGUAGUAGUACUAGGUCAUCAAAGAAAAAGGUAAAAUAGAAUAUGUAGUUCAGAAUCAAGCUUGAUUUGAUUAUAAAAGUUUGGCUGUUAGUUCUUGCUAUGGAAAUAUCAAAUGAUAUUUUUGACGACUGGAAAGUAAAUUCAGGAAUCCUGGGCUUAUUAUGGGAAUGCCUACUGGCAGAAAUUCUGGGCUGGCUGAAAUACAGGACUCUUAGAGUUCUCUCAAGUAGGAGGGACCAGGAAAACCAUACUGAGGUGGCACUUAGUUUGGGGGCUUACUGUCCAUAAGAGUACUGGUGGUGAUGGAGGUUGGGAUGGUGAUGAGAAAAGAGAAAGCAUCCAGGACCAAAAUUGCCUUGUUUCUGUUGGGCGCUGUGAAGAAUUUUUUAGGAUCCUUCCUUUGAGUAUGAUACACAGUAACCAUCAUAAGUGGCACCUGCUGUAACAAGAUGUCUUGGAUUACAUUAAACAUUUAUACGUUGGAUUGAUUCCUGUAAGGUGUGAGGUCUACAAUAGGUCUUUUGCAAAGAAGUUAGUGAAGUUUUUUUUAAAUGUAGAAAUAGGCUAACAAAGUAAUGGUCAGGGCCCCUUCUUAUUCCCAUCCUCCUGCCCCAAAGGUUGUAUUAAUUGGCUGCAGAUCCCCAAAUUUUAGAAGCAACUGAAGCAUGCAAAUAAUGGUUAAAAUAUGGUAUUCAAAAUAAAUUGACACCAUAUAAUUUUUUCCUGCCAGUGAGCUGAGAUACCUCAAUCUCUGAAUGGAUUACUGUUUCCUUUUUAUGUCCAGGUUAUACCUUGCUUAGAUUGGUCGAUAUCAUUACGGAUACACAUUGAGUUGUGUGUGGUACAGUGGUGAGGAGUAAAGAGCACAGGACUCAGGAACAGGCGGCUUUGGUUCUACACGCAGUUCUGGAUUAAGCUUUGUGACUGUGGGCAAGUCAUUUGCCUUCUCUGUUGCAUUUUUUUCUUCAUCAGUAAAGUGAGGUUGGAGAAUUGCAUGACCUCUCUCUGUGAUGCUAUAUAUCUCUCUGUGCUUUCGUAUUUGACUUGUUAUGAGGUAGCUUCUUCCUCUACAUUUAUAACUAGAGGUCUUGAGACCAUCUUUCUUACCCUGUGCUUAAGGAACUGAAGGCUGUUUUCUCCUGAGGAUUUACAGGAAUAACCUCUGAACAGCUGGGUGCAAUGGUGGCAGAAAAAGCAAAUACCACCAGACUGUUUGCCAUGGAGCUGUUAAUGUUUGUCAUCAGUCAUUCCACCUGGCUGGUGGUUUAAAAACACUAAAUAAUAAUUGAAAAAUUAAACAGACAUCACUAAAGGAGGACUUGAAAAAUAGUUGCUUCAGAAUCUCCUAAUUUUGGGGAUGUAUUAGGGAUGGGAAGUGGAUAUUCAUAAAUUCAGCAUUAGCACUGCUUAUUUAGCGGGGGAUAGGAAGGUGGGGAGAGGUAGGUAGCAUUAAACUCUCCAGACUUUCUGGUGUUUGGGCAGGUCUAGGUCUGGUUUGGGCAGUUGGUUGUAAUCUGAGUGCCUGAACUUGCCCUGCAAAUUUUGCUGAGAGAGGAGCAAAAGUUCCUGAGACUAGGAAAAGCUGAUAGUGUCAGGGUCAGUUUCAUAGGUAUGCUGCCUUUUCUCAUGCCCCUGGUUUUUGAAACUAUGUGGUGUGGUUUGCAAGUGGUCUUGGAGAUGCUGUUCUUUCUCUUCUCUGGCACACCUGAAUUUCCAUUUUUUUUCCUCCUGGCUUAGUAGUUUAGAAGCGUAAUUUAGGCAUAUUAGAGGUGUGCUAGAAGGAAGCUUCCCUUUAUAAAAAAGGAAAAAAGGUGAUGGGAAAGUUGUUUGAUAAUUCUCUGCUUGACGCAGCAGCUUCUUCCCCUCUGAAGGAACCAAAUGUUUCAGAGCUUUGUGUAAAUACUUGCUGAGCUGUCAAUAUGUACCCAGGAGGUUUCUGUAGUAAGAUGUGAACAGCUCUAUAGAAUGUUUGACAGGCAAAUUAAUAAACAGUUUCCAAGGAAAGAUAAUGCUGCUCUCUUCUCAUGUGGUGAAAUAAAAAUAACAUAGGAGAAAAAGACGAGACUAGGGAAGAGGGUAGGUAGUGUAGGGGGGCACGUAGAGCAUGGAGAUAAGAAGAGAUGAUCUAAAAGAGAUUUGAACCUAAAAGAUGCUGCCCUGGAAGAGAAGCCUCUGUGACCCUUGGCUCCAUGCUGAGUUCAGGGCAUGUGGAGCCCUGUUCAAAACAAAUUGCAGUUUCAGAGUGAAAACAAAUAGAAGCCUGGAAAGAAGGGCACCCUAAUUUCAAUAGUGAGGUGUGUUCCAAAAUCUUGGUUUAUGAGACUUUGAGUUUUAAAGCCUUUUUCUUUGAGAAAGGUUUUGUAGUUUGGUGAGAUGUUUUUAGGGUUGGGUUUGCAUUUUUGGAAUACCAAUACCAGAAAGUAGAAGAAAGGUCUACUGCAACUUCAGCAUCCUCUUCAGCCUUUGUCCUGCUGUGGCUCUCAGGAUUAUAAACCCACACCAAGGGCUGGAUUAUUUAUAUACUUUUUACUGGACUCCUGUGUAUUACUUAUAUGUGUAUUAAAAUUAAUGCCCCCAGGUUCCUGGGUCAGUGCAAAGUCCAAAUGUUUGGGGACUACUAAAUCCUGCCUGAAGGGUUAUGUGAGUAGAUUCAGACUUUGUUUUUGAAAUUGCCAUUUUAGGAUUAAAAACAUUUCUGGUUCCUUCAGUGACACACUCUUUUUAUGGAGGUAUUUUAGAAGUACAGUAUCUUAGCUGUCUGCCUGUGGUAUACUCUCCUUUGGUAGCCUUGUAAGAUGACCAGAUUUGCCCUUGAAAGUCCCUUUUUUAAACUAAAUCCACUGACUCUGAUACCAGUUUUCUUCACAUGAGCUGUUUUAGAGAACCAGAGUCCUGGAAGUGCCUUUUUGAACUACCAUAGUAGUAGGGAAUAUGAGCGUAAUUAUGGCCCUGACCAUAAUUUUUAGGUUCAGCUAACUUACCAAAGGCUAUCAGCUUGUUUUAAAACAAAAUAGAAAAACUUGGGUUGACACUGACAUUGGUUGCCCAGGCCUUUCCCAGUGUGGUGGUGGUGAGGGUAUAAGAACUUUAGACUUGUUGCUGAGAACAUGAUUUAAAGUUCAGGGAGAUCUGGAGAUUCAAACAGGGGUGGGAAAUUGUUCUGUGUGAACAUACCAAUUAGAUACUAAAAGGGAACUUAAAAGAUAGUAGCAUUCUCGCUUUGGAGGAGUUUAGUUUUCUUGAGGAAGCAUGCUUAUAUGCACACAUCUGGAAAACUUGAGAAGUAAGGUUUUAUAAAUGGAUAUAGACCAGGCUAAGUCUAUGGCUGAAGGAAUCCGAGAAUAAGGAGCAAUUAGAAUUAGACACUUUAUCUUGGGACAACUUUUAGAGGCGGUGAUUUGUGAAGUUAAAUGUUUGAGAGGGGGGAAGUUAAAAUAUUAAUUUGCUUUUUCUUAAUGCUACUCUGAGUUCUGUGGGCUUUACAGAAUCCAAAUUACACAUCUAUCCACAGACCAAUAGUUGUCUCAUUCCAGUGACUGAAAAUUUGGGUUCUAACUAAAAUUUCCAUGAAAGAAAGUGGUUCCAGGAUCUUAGUGGUUCCUGUGGUUAUGUGGGGCCUUUGGUACAACCUGCCAAGUUCUUGGCCAAUUCAGGGGGCUCUUUUGUUGUAAUUUUGGGUUUGGAAGGUCAUGUCACCUUCAGAUUUGUGAGCCCUGGACAACUCUGAAGUGACAGUAGUUCAACUUUGGUUGGAGAGCCUGGGGUUUCUAUUUUUUGGCAGAGUUAAUUGACCUUCCUUAAAAUGUGCCAUGAAGUACCUGUUGGGACUGCCGCUAUUUUUGAAGGGCUGGGAGCCAAGCUUGAAGUGAGUUGCUUGGGUCAGGCCUUACAUUGAGGGUUGAUGGGUGGGCAAGCCUGCACGUACGCGGUUUGCUCAUCCGUUCACAAAAAUGGCUCUUAAUAUUGUUUUUUCAUGAGGUUGGCUAUGGCUAAGAAGCUCAUAAAUGAUGCAAAUACAUGUUUAUUCCUUAUGGGAGCCUCUGAAAUGUAGUGAUUUUUUCCCUCCAUGCUGUUCCAUAUGCUAUUGGACCACAUAUGACUUCUGGCACUUUUUGAGGGCUCUAAGUGGAUGCUGAACAGCUUGGAGUGUCCAGUGCCAUGCUACAGUGCUUCUACCUGGAAGAGAAGGAUGGGUUACUCAGUUCCAGUAUAGAAAUAUGGAGGCUUGACUACAGAUUUUAAUUUAGAAAUAUUUCUUCUAACUUCUUUUGCCUUGCCAUUCUGGCAUUUUGCGAAAGUGAGUUUCCAGUAACUUGGUAGCAUUGGCACCAUGGUUCACCUGCCACAGCAGGUGUGUAUGGGCUUGAGGUCAGUCCCAGGUUUUAGAGGAAUCCAGGUUAUUAACUGUCUUGACUAUUCCUCUCUUCAGUUGCCCCCCCUUGCUGCCCUGCCCCCUUAUUUAAAUGGAUAGAAUUAGUUUUUAUUGAAUGUGAAGGGACAUCUGAGUGAACUUUCAUUUGUUUUUGCUCAUCAUUUGUGCCUACUAGAAGAUGGUCUUGGAACAGGUUGAGUCUUUAUUCCCGGGUGGCUUCUGCAUUUUCUAAGGGUGUACUACAAUGGGAAGAAGUCUGAUGCCAAAAAUGCAUUCCAACAUGCUGAAGAGUAGGAAAUUUGAUCCCUAAAAUGUUGACUUAGUGUUGGUUAUGGUACAUAUUAGAAAUCACCCAGUAAUCCAGGACAGAUUUUUGUCGCCCUUCAGGAAGUUAAUGUUGAUAUGAAAUACUGAGGGGCUUUGGGCACUGGGGCUAUGUGCUCUCCAGGCUGCUUGAAUUGCCACCCAUAUGAAGAGGAAAUGUGCCAUGUGCUUUUUUUUUCUCUUGCAUUUGGGCUUCCUUAUGGCUUCAUUCCUUCUGGGUUCCCAAGUCUGCAGUGUUAGAUAUUAGAUUUCUUCCUUCCUUGGCCCUGGCACAUUCAUGAUUUUUUGUGGCUUAUCACCAGCAGCCAAAAUUUGUGUGUGCUUUUCCCUCUUAAACUUGUUAGCUUUCAGCUUACUUAUUUAUAGACAUCUCUGUUAAAAGGAACUCCCUCCAUCCCCCCAAGACCUAGCACCAGCAUGAUGGCAGCAGGGGAAUGUAGGAAUUGAUGUGAUAUUCGUUAUUUAAAAACUCAUUUGCUGUGUGCUCCAUGUUUUUUAUUUUGCCUCCUGUUUUCCUUAAGGUCAUAACUUGCUUUCCAGGCAUGAGUGCAUCUGAGUCCAGCUGUUUACUCUAAACUAACUCGUACCUAAUGUACUUUGACUUUUAAGAAAAGUGUGAGUUCAGCCUCGUGGUGGAGAAUUAAAGACUAAGUCAUUCAGGUUGCUUCCUUUUAGAGGAAACAGAUAUGUCUUUGGGCUCUUCUUGCCCAGUGAUUUUUCCCUCUCUCUCGUGUAGAUCUUAAUAUGGCUUUGUGUUCAUAGAGAACAAGUCAUCUGAGCAAUUAGUUGCUUUUUGUCUUCUUUGGCAUAUACAGAUGGCUUUUUCUCUUCCCCUUUGAGCAAUACGCAGUCUUGGUCCUAAAGUGGUAGUUUGUGAGGUGGUCCAGCAUUAGUUUAGGAGUGUGAAACUUUUUUUUUUUUAAUCCUUACCCAAGGACAUGCUUAUAGAUUUUAGAGAGGGG